rnacentral:rRNA from 1 species
UGGGGAAUAUUGGACAAUGGACCGAGAGUCUGAUCCAGCAAUUCUGUGUGCACGAUGAAGUUUUUUGGAAUGUAAAGUGCUUUCAGUUGGGAAGAAAGAAAUGACGGUACCAACAGAAGAAGUGACGGCUAAAUACGUGCCAGCAGCCGCGGUAAUACGUAUGUCACGAGCGUUAUCCGGAUUUAUUGGGCGUAAAGCGCGUCUAGGUGGUUAUGUAAGUCUGAUGUGAAAAUGCAGGGCUCAACUCUGUAUUGCGUUGGAAACUGUAUAACUAGAGUACUGGAGAGGUAAGCGGAACUAAAAGUGUAGAGGUGAAAUUCGUAGAUAUUUGUAGGAAUGCCGAUGGGGAAGCCAGCUUACUGGACAGAUACUGACGCUAAAGCGCGAAAGCGUGGGUAGCAAACAGG